rnacentral:rRNA from 1 species
UACGUAGGUGGCAAGCGUUGUCCGGAAUUAUUGGGCGUAAAGCGCGCGCAGGUGGUUUCGUAAGUCUGAUGUGAAAGCCCACGGCUCAACCGUGGAGGGUCAUUGGAAACUGGGGAACUUGAGUGCAGGAGAGAAGAGUGGAAUUCCACGUGUAGCGGUGAAAUGCGUAGAGAUGUGGAGGAACACCAGUGGCGAAGGCGACUCUUUGGCCUGUAACUGACACUGAGGCGCGAAAGCGUGGGGAGCAAACAGG